ACUGGGACUGAGACACUGCCCAGACUCCUACGGGAGGCUGCAGUCGAGAAUCUUUUGCAAUGCCCGCAAGGGUGACAAUGCGACGCCGCGUGAGCGAUGAAGGCCUUCGGGUUGUAAAGCUCUGUCAGCUGGGAUGAAGGAACAGCGGUUAAUACCCGCUGUUAUUGACGGUACCAGCAAAGGAAGCCACGGCUAACUCCGUGCCAGCAGCCGCGGUAAUACGGAGGUGGCAAGCGUUGUUCGGAUUUACUGGGUGUAAAGGACAUGUAGGCGUCUUUUUAAGUCGGGUGUGAAAUCCCAUGGCUCAACCAUGGAACUGCAUUCGAUACUGAUAAGAUUGAGUACGAGAGGGGUAAGCGGAAUUCCGGAAGUAAGGGUGAAAUCUGUAGAUAUCCGGAGGAACACCAUUAGCGAAGGCGGCUUACUGGCUCGAUACUGACGCUGAAAUGUGAAAGCUAGGGGAGCAAACAGGAUUAGAUACCCUGGUAGUCCUAGCUGUAAACGAUGGGCACUAGGUGCUGGCUUGUGAAAGUCAGUGUCGCAGCUAACGCGUUAAGUGCCCCACCUGGGGACUACGGUCGCAAGGCAAAAACUCAAAGGAAUUGACGGGGACCCGCACAAGCGGUGGAGCAUGUGGUUUAAUUCGAUGCUACGCGAGGAACCUUACCUGGGCUUGACAUGUAUGAAGUAGGAACCUGAAAGGGUAACUACCUGUUUAAGUCAGGAACAUACACAGGUGCUGCAUGGCUGUCGUCAGCUCGUGUCGUGAGAUGUUGGGUUAAGUCCCGCAACGAGCGCAACCAUCGUCCUAUGUUGCUAAUCAUAGCUUGCUAUGAAGAACUCUUAGGAGACUGCCAGUUUUUUAACUGGAGGAAGGAGGAGAUGACGUCAAGUCAGUAUGGCCCUUACGCCCAGGGCGACACACGUGCUACAAUGGUCGGUACAAAGGGUUGCAAUACCGCGAGGUGGAGCCAAUCUCAAAAAGCCGGCCUCAGUUCGGAUCGGAGGCUGCAAUUCGCCUCCGUGAAGCUGGAAUCGCUAGUAACCGCAGAUCAGCCAUGCUGCGGUGAAUACGUUCCCGGGUCUUGUACACACCGCCUGUCAAGUCACCUGAGUUGAGUGCACCCGAAGCCAUUAGCUUAACCUUUUGGAGAGCGAUGUCGAAGGUAUGCUUGGCGAGGAGGACUAAGUCAAAACAAGGUA
rnacentral:rRNA from 1 species